rnacentral:rRNA from 1 species
GACGAACGCUGGCGGCGUGCUUAACACAUGCAAGUCGAACGCAGUUGCGAACGGGUGAGUAACGCGUAGGUAACUGCCCUAUUGCGGGGGAUAACCAUUGGAAACGAUAGCUAAUACCGCAUACUGUGUGCUCGACCUGCGUUGUAUUAGCUAGUUGGUGAGGUACAGGCUCACCAAGGCGACGAUACACAGCCGGCCUGAGAGGGUGGCCAGCCACACUGGGACUGAGACACGGCCCAGACUCCUACGGGAGGCAGCAGUAGGGAAUCUUCGGCAAGGGACGGAAGUCUGACCGAGCAACGCCGCGUGAGUGAAGAAGGUUGUCGGAUCGUAAAGCUCUGUUGUUAGAGACGGGGUACUAAACAGAAAGCGACGGCUAACUACGUGCCAGCAGCCGCGGUAAUAC